CAAUGUCUUCCCAACCAUGUUGUGUAACACCAGCUCUGUGCCCGGCAUGCAGUCCCACGCAGUUAGCUCAGCAGGACAGCGGUUUGCCCCGAGCACAAAUCCCCGCUGCGGUGGCUGCCUGCGGGUGCAGAGGAUGUGCUGGAACUCAGGCUGGUGCCACAUCGCUGCUCCCUGCUCCUGCUGACAGGUGUCACAGCCUGGGCUGCCGUCCCCUCCCCGGCUAAUGGGCCCUGUGUCCUAGGCUGGGGCUUCAAAUGGAGUGCUAAUGGCGGUCCUGUUCAGAGGAGUGUCUGCACACCUCCAGAAAGCUGCUCUUCUCCAUCCCGAGGAGCACUGUGUGGAAAACUGACUGGUUACCAGUGGCAGAAGGCAAAAAGGUUUGCUUUCUCUACAAGUAUUCCUGAAGACACUGUUGAUGGCUGUAUCUACAAAAUGACUGUGCAAAUGUGGGCUGGUAUCCUUAUAAAAAUGCUGCUUCAUGGCUGGUAUUAAAAUAGUAAGGAUAAGCUGCCAUAUUGCAGUAAUGAAACCUGACAAGAUGCCUCGAAUCUCAAUACAUUCAAUAACAAAGUUCAAGAUGAAAAUUACUUAAAUAAAG